GCAGGGCUUGUACUGCUAGUGAGGAGCUGGGUUUUGCUGUUGGCAGAUAGAAUAUGCCCGUGCCUUUAAAUGCAAGGACAGGCAGAAGCUGGGAGGGAUCCUGAGCAGGUUUGGUGGCACGACAGCAGUUUGAAAAGACCUUGACUGUGGGAGAAGUGUCCAGGAAAAAUGAUUCCUUUUUGGCAGGGAGGCAGUUUGCAAGGACAGGGGGGUUGCUGUGCUCUCUAGCAAAAAUAGUCCCCUUGGGAUGUCCAGGGUGAGGAAAUGUUGGCCACGUGUGGGCUGGAGCAAAGCAGGAUGUCGAGUGCCACCGUGUCCCUGAGGUCACCCUUUCUGCUGUUGGGAGAGCACGAGGUGCAUGGAGAGGAUCCCCAGGCAUCUGCAGGCACAAGAGACUCGUACAACUGCAAUUUUCCUACAGCCCUCGUGAGAGGGACUUUCAGGGUACUCUUGGGAAUGUGUCAGCUCUCCUGCUGGAGCUUUUCUAUGGAAUAUUUGAACACAAAGAGUAAAACUAAAGUCAGUUUUGUUCUGGAGUAUGUUACACUUGUGCAAAGCUCCUUCUCUCUGUUUAUUUUCUGUUCUGGAAAGCACAUUUUGGGGUUCCUGGGCACUUCCUAUUAAAUGAUUCCGUGAAAAUAAUAUUGUACUGAAAGGAAAAAGGAGCUGUCUAUGGGAGGUCAGAUGUCCCUGAUAAAAGCUUUAUGUAUUUUCACUCAGUGAGCUUUUAAAAUGUCUUACAGUGUGUAGGAAUGCCUGGCUUCUAAAACUCACCAGCUGAGUCUUAGAGGCUUCUUUGAAGAGCUGUUUUCAGGCAGCAGAAUUGGCCCCCCAGCAGGGACUCUGUGCCUGCUCUCCCGUGGCUCCAAGGGAUCUCUGGGCCUUCACGCCGGCACCGAGAUUUUCUCGGGAAGGGCCUCAGAUCCCCGGACCAGUCUGGGACACAGGCAAGAUCCCCCUGCCUUUAGAAACGAGGCCUUCUUGUGGCUUCCUCCCCGUCCACGUUGGUGGGUUCCCAAGAAGGCCUCUUGAAAUGCCUUUUGGGCUGUGCAUUGAAGCCUUGGGAGCAAAUUGGGCCCCCUGGAGGGACAGUGCUGUUGGUGCCCCCCGGGCUGGGGCACCCCGAGGACUCCAGCGCGCACCGAAAGGAUUAUUCGGGGAGAUCCUCGGGGUGCCCGGCCCUGGGGAGCUCAAAGCAAGGUUCCUGCAAUGGAUUCAGGCAUUGCUGAGAGUAUCCCAGGGGUACCUGUCCCUGCUAGACAAGGAGCUCUCUAAUGGACUGUAAUUGGGUUCUAAAAGUGGUGCUCCAUGUGCCAAAGCAGUGUGGGAUUGGGAUUAAGAAAUGAGCAGUGAUGGUACAAUUGGCUGUUUACUCUUGAAUGUAAUGGUAAGAGCUGCAGGAGUGCAAGGUGUGUGUUCCAGUCCCCAGCAUUUGGUUUGCACAUGUCCUGGUCAGACACAGGUCCAACUUCCUCAGUCCUUAACAAAACAGCAGGAGAAUUAAGGACUGGCAGUGUUAAGGUGAUUGGUGUGACAGGGGUUAAACUGGG